rnacentral:rRNA from 1 species
CGCAAUGGGCGAAAGUCUGACGGAGCGACGCCGCGUGAUUGAUGAAGCUCUUCGGAGUGUAAAGAUCUUUUAUGAGGGAAGAAGUUUAUUGACGGUACCUCAUGAAUAAGGGGCUCCUAAUCUCGUGCCAGCAGGAGCGGUAAUACGAGAGCCCCGAGCGUUAUCCGGAAUUAUUGGGCGUAAAGGGUGCGUAGGUGGUUUUGUUAGUCGUUUGUUAAAUCUUCGGGCUUAACCUGAAAUCCGCAAACGAAACGGCAUAACUAGAGAGUGUGAGAGGUAUAGGGAACUCAUGGUGUAGGGGUGAAAUCCGUUGAUAUCAUGGGGAACACCAAAAGCGAAGGCACUCUACUGGCGCGCUCCUGACGCUGAAACACGAAAGCGU